GACAGAGGUGGCGAGCGUUGUUCGGAUUUAUUGGGCGUAAAGAGCGCGUAGGUGGUCUUGUAAGUUGGGGGUGAAAUCCCGGGGCUUAACCCCGGAACUGCCUCCAAUACUGCAAGACUUGAGUGCGGGAGAGGGUAGUGGAAUUCCCAGUGUAGAGGUGAAAUGCGCAGAUAUCAGGAAGAACACCUAUGGCGAAGGCAGCUCUCUGGGACGGUACUGACGCUGAGACGCGAAAGCGUGGGGAGCGAACAGG
rnacentral:rRNA from 1 species